rnacentral:lncRNA from 1 species
AACAACAAAAACAAAAACAACAAAAGAGCAUUAGUAACUUCUACAAGAAUAAAAAGGUAUUUUAGUUCAUCCACUAUGUACCUCUGUAUUGGUGACUUUUGUGGACAGGAUACUGUAAUUUAUCAGCUACCGGCUUGGCUUUAAGAUUUGAGGUAAGAUUUGAGGUAAUGAUUUGAGGUAAGCAACCCCCACUUCCAACCGAGAGGUUGUGAGUUCGAGUCUCCCCAAGAGUAAGGUGGGAAGUUCUUAGAGGGAAGGAUGCCGGGGGUCUAUUUGGAAACAGCCUCUCUAACCAAGGGUAGGGAUAAGGUCUGCGUACAUACUACCCUCCCCAGACCCCACUAAGUGGGAUUAUACUGGGUUGUUAUUGUUGUUGUU